UCGAGCGCCCCCGUCCGCUACCGUCCGCUACCAUCGGGAGUCGACCUCGAGAGCCUCCCCAUCCACCCCUUUUGAGCCAAGCUUGAGUGCCUCCCCGUUCGCCGCCGUCGGGAGCCGAGCUCGAGGCCAGUGGUCGAGGGGAGGAGUCAAGCUCCACGACGGCAGUGGGAGAGGGUGGGGGCAGCGCUCGACUCGAGGAGCAAGCAGUGCACGACCAGUUGUUGGGCUAGCGGCGCUCGGGGCCGUCUCGCGCCCACCGCUUGGAGUUGAGUCGCGCCACUGGGCUACCUCAUUCCCGCCGCUCGGAGCAGUCCCCGGCACUCCCCACGCCGUUGGGGGCCGCCUCACCCGUGGCUCGGAGUUGAGCCACACCGCUUGAGAUUCGAUGGGAUAGAGAGAGGGGUGAGGAAGAGAG
rnacentral:lncRNA from 1 species